CUCAUCCCCAAAGGACAGAGACUAAAGGAGUGCCUGCUGUUGCUGCAAGAGCUUGAGGAUGUGAUCCCAGUGAGUGGACAAGGAACUUUUGAAGCCUGUGAGUUCCUUCUUCUAGUUGACUGCCACCUGCCUGGACUUGCCAUCUGACUGCUCUGAGUUUCUCCAGGAGAGUCCCAACCUGCUUCUCCACUGCCCCAGAGAGGAGAGAGCUUUGUCUCGUGAACACAGUGGAUUUCUGCAUCACUUUGAAACACAGCGGUGCAGCCAUGGGGAGGGAGCCAGGGCAACACAGGGAGCCAAGGGAUGAUCCCACAUCACUCCUGUACGUUGUCUUCAGUGCCCUCAAUACCCCAGAGCAGGACCAAAGUGCUUAGGCAGAGAGACCUGAGCCAGUCACUGUCUCACCUGGUGAAAUACCAGGUGUGCGAAGUUUGGAGGGAGUUUUUAGCCCUUGGCUUUGCUCAUGGAGCAGAGCUUGGUCCUUGCUGCUCUUGAUCCCUGGGUCUCUGGAGCUGUGGGAGUGCAGCCUUCCCAAAGGCACUGUGCUGGGCCCAUGAGGACCAUGAGCUUUUCCAGGCCAGGCAGCCCUGCUGCUGUUGUACCCUCUCUGUUCCUGUAAGAGAAAUGUACUGCCUGUAAUUCUGUCCCAUUCAAAUCCUCCCAACCCCAUGCACUGUUGAAAAUAAACUCUCUCUUUUGCAAAA